rnacentral:rRNA from 1 species
AGUGAACGCUGGCGGUAGGCCUAACACAUGCAAGUCGAACGGCAGCACAGUAAGAGCUUGCUCUUACGGGUGGCGAGUGGCGGACGGGUGAGGAAUACAUCGGAAUCUACUUUUUCGUGGGGGAUAACGUAGGGAAACUUACGCUAAUACCGCAUACUACCUACGGGUGAAAGCAGGGGAUCUUCGGACCUUGCGCGAUUGAAUGAGCCGAUGUCGGAUUAGCUAGUUGGCGGGGUAAAGGCCCACCAAGGCGACGAUCCGUAGCUGGUCUGAGAGGAUGAUCAGCCACACUGGAACUGAGACACGGUCCAGACUCCUACGGGAGGCAGCAGUGGGGAAUCUUGGGCAAUGGGCGCAAGCCUGACGCAGCCAUACCGCGUGAGUGAAGAAGGCCUUCGGAUUGUAAAGCCCUUUUGUUGGGAAAGAACAGAAGCGUAUUAAUCCCUCGAUGUUCUGACGGUACCCAAACAAUAAGCACCGGCUAACUUCGUG